rnacentral:rRNA from 1 species
GACGAACGCUGGCGGCGUGCCUAAUACAUGCCAGUAGAACGCUGAAGGAGGAGCUUGCUUCUCCGGAUGAGUUGCGAACGGGUGAGUAACGCGUAGGUAACCUGCCUGGUAGCGGGGGAUAACUAUUGGAAACGAUAGCUAAUACCGCAUAACAGUAGAUAUUGCAUGAUAUCUGCUUGAAAGGUGCAAUUGCAUCACUACCAGAUGGACCUGCGUUGUAUUAGCUAGUUGGUGGGGUAACGGCUCAGCAAGGCGACGAUACAUAGCCGACCUGAGAGGGUGAUCGGCCACACUGGGACUGAGACACGGCCCAGACUCCUACGGGAGGCAGCAGUAGGGAAUCUUCGGCAAUGGACGGAAGUCUGACCGAGCAACGCCGCGUGAGUGAAGAAGGUUUUCGGAUCGUAAAGCUCUGUUGUAAGAGAAGAACGAGUGUGAGAGUGGAAAGUUCACACUGUGACGGUAUCUUACCAGAAAGGGACGGCUAACUACGUG